UUAUCAAAAUAAUCCAUCCAUCCUGAUUUAUUGUUUUAUAGCAUUGGUAUACACUGUACGUGUAUAUAAGGGAAUAAAUCGAAAAAAAAGUACUUACUCUCAUCACCCGAUAUUCGCAUACUAGUACUUAGACAGACGAGAAAAGAUGAAUACUACAGUAACUGUGUUUUCUGUCGUGGCCGUCCUCCUGUUUUGCCUUGCCGCAGACGGACAUUACCUACCCGCACGUCACCACUGGUCACCAUCAUUUCAUUAUCCAUCAGUUCAUCGUAUGAAGAAUCACGGCUUUAUUGGACACUCGGUCCCAUUCUCCUCUUUCCAGACACACCCUUCCGCUUUCCAGACACACCCUUCCGCUUUCCAGACACACCCUUCCGCUAUCCAGGCUCAUGGACCAGCUUUCCAAGCACCUCAAUCAAGACCAGCUUUCCCGGCCUCUGGAUCUAUUACUGGCCCGGGCGCUGAUCAAGCUAUCGAUGUAUUCACCAGUUUAUUACUUUUGAGACAAGGUAGCACUGGUCUUGGUGCACUGGGUCUUCUACGAGCAUUUUAAGGAUACAAUAUCGACGUAUUUAUGUCCAUACCUAAAUGCAGCAAAUGUUUAUCAAUUUAAUAUAUAUUUGAUGAAAGAUUUAUCGAUCGAAUAAAAAAUGCUAAAAACCAUUUGAACGACGCGAUGGAAAAGUUAGUUUGAAAAUAUUUUAGUUUAGAUUGACAAAAACUAGGACAAAGUUGCAUUAUUUGUAUCUUAAUAUAUUGUUGUUUUUUGUCAAUGUACUAUUUAUUAAAAAAUAAAUGUUAAAUGAACAAAAAGAACGUUGUGUUGUUUUUGAAGAAUUUUACAGACAAGACACAGACAUGGUUAUUUUAUGAAAAUGUUGGAAAUGUACGGGUGAAUAUCAGACGUAUUUCUACAAGUUAUAGCAAAAAUACAUUUCAGAAUUAGUAUAUACAGAAUUUAUUCAAGUUCGGGUGUGUAGGAAGCUGUAAGCCUAAAGAUACACUCUCGCAUCGGUAUUUGGAACCAACUAGUACUCAGCAAUGAGUGUAAAGUUUCUUACUCGAAGAAAGACCGACUUGCCCCUGAACACACUGUGUUAGAGAUCCUGACGCCCCAGUUACAUAAAGCCAAUGGUAAUUGAUCGGUACUUUUUUCAUCAAAAUCGAACCGACGACAACGUAUUAAAAUCAUAUAUCACCUACAGGUCAACUUUUUUCUCACCAUCAACUAAUAUGUAUGUAGUCUAUGCUUUUUGAAAGUCAAUUCGCAAACAAAAGGCAGAUUUCGCUGUCGAGUACGGACCUUUGACACUACCACCAUUCAUGCCCUUAAAACUCAAUUUUCAAGCAAAAAUGAAGGCUAUAUCAAUCAUUGUGCUAAUUAGACACUGUUGAUUAUUAAAACCAUUUCGUGUAAUAAUCAAAGUACUGAAGUAUAUAUAGAUGGGCUGGCUAUAAUUAACUAUUAGUUUUGUUGUGUUCUUAAUAACUUCAUGAUAAAGUUCCAUUACAUUCUACAAGUUUAUUAUUACACCUAGGGACCGAUGCAUUGCUUACUUAUAGUGAUUAAGAGUGCCAAUUUAUUUUGAAACCCCAUCAUGUAAUAAAGCGGAAGUUAUUAACUAGACAAGGGUAACAUUUAACGGUCCAAACCACCAUUCUAUAGCGGGUGCAUAAAACAAUGUUAUCACUGAUAAAUUAUAGAUAUUAAAUAAGUCUGGACUUAAUUAAAUUUCUAAAAGUGUUGAUUUAAAUACUAAAUUUUAUUGGUUGAACAGACAGCUGUAAUACCUUUAUGGGACAAGACACUAGCUAUGUUCGAGUCCGAUGGAAUCAUACUCUCCCUGGAGAAAGGAGUUACACAUGUCGCCUGCGUCUUUGUUAACAUGGAUUACGACUCGACCGCGACUUUGACAAAUUCAGUAAGGUCUACGAUUACAUAUAUCAUUCGGUUAUCUGGGGGUGGGGCUCUUCGGCAAACAAGAACUCUAUUCUUACCAUUUUAUAGCCAAUUGACUAAUAAAAUCUCCAGACGUACAUUUUUCCGGUUUGCAUUUACAUGUAUUAUUUAUAUGUGUUGAAUAACGGAGCCAAUCUUUCCUAAAUCGAUCAUAAAUCAUUAUGGAAAUAAUAUAAUUUUAUUGCUUAUAAAUUUUAUGA